GUCAGGAACUGUGUGUCUAGAUGUAAUUAAUCAAACUUGGACAGCUCUCUAUGGUGAGUUUGGCCAUGGAAUAUUAUUUGGUGAUCCUGAGAUGACAUUGCCUCAAAAGAAUGUUGUUUGGCUUUUCUUCAGUUAUGUCGUGUUGGGAAUGGGAAAGAAUUUUGAGGGGCCGAGUGGGAAGGUUGCUUGGUGGGGAAGAAAACGGAGUGGGCAGUGCGGCUAGGGAGAUUGCUCAGUGGUUAAAAGCACUUACUUCACAAACACAAGUACUAGAGUCUGGGUCCCCAAACUGGUGACAAUCCAGGUGAGCAUGGGGCCUCUCAAGCCAGAGACAAGGCAUUCCCCUGUGCAGACUGGCUAGGGAGACUAGCCAUGUCAGGGGGCCUCUGGUUUAAUUGAGAGACCCUGCCUCCAUG
rnacentral:lncRNA from 1 species